rnacentral:rRNA from 1 species
AGUCGAACGAUGACGUCACUGCUUGCAGUGAUUGAUUAGUGGCGAACGGGUGAGUAACACGUGAGGAACUUGCCCAUGAGCGGGGGACAACAUUCGGAAACGGAUGCUAAUACCCCAUAGGUGGAUUGGUCGCAUGACCUAAUUCAUUAAAGGUGGCUCUGCUACCACUCAUGGAUAGCCUCGCGGCGUAUUAGCUAGUUGGUAAGGUAAUGGCUUACCAAGGCAGUGAUACGUAGCCGACUUGAGAGGGUGAUCGGCCACACUGGGACUGAGACACGGCCCAGACUCCUACGGGAGGCAGCAGUAGGGAAUCUUCCACAAUGGGUGCAAACCUGAUGGAGCAAUGCCGCGUGAGUGAAGAAGGUCUUCGGAUCGUAAAGCUCUGUUGUUAGAGAAGAACACGUGCUAGGUAACUACUAGCGCCUUGACGGUAUCUAACCAGAAAGUCACGGCUAACUACGUGCCAGCAGCCGCGGUAAUACGUAGGUGACAAGCGUUGUCCGGAUUUAUUGGGCGUAAAGGGAGCGCAGGCGGUCUGUUUAGUCUAAUGUGAAAGCCCACGGCUUAACCGUGGAACGGCAUUGGAAACUGACAGACUUGAAUGUAGAAGAGGAAAAUGGAAUUCCAAGUGUAGCGGUGGAAUGCGUAGAUAUUUGGAGGAACACCAGUGGCGAAGGCGAUUUUCUGGUCUAACAUUGACGCUGAGGCUCGAAAGCGUGGGGAGCGAACAGG